rnacentral:rRNA from 1 species
GUAGGGUGCGAGCGUUAAUCGGAAUUACUGGGCGUAAAGCGUGCGCAGGCGGUUUUGUAAGACAGGCGUGAAAUCCCCGGGCUCAACCUGGGAACUGCGCUUGUGACUGCAAGGCUAGAGUACGGCAGAGGGGGGUGGAAUUCCACGUGUAGCAGUGGAAUGCGUAGAGAUGUGGAGGAACACCAAUGGCGAAGGCAGCCCCCUGGGUCGAUACUGACGCUCAUGCACGAAAGCGUGGGUAGCAAACAGGAUUAGAUACCCUGGUAGUCCACGCCCUAAACGAUGUCAACUAGGUGUUGGGUGGGUAAAACCAUUUAGUACCGGAGCUAACGCGUGAAGUUGACCGCCUGGGGAGUACGGCCGCAAGGUUA